rnacentral:rRNA from 1 species
UGGGGAAUCUUCCGCAAAUGGGCGAAAGCCUGACGGAGCAAUACCGCGUGAGGGAUGAAGGAUUUUGGUCUGUAAACCUCUUUUCUCAAGAAAGAAGUUCUGACGGUACUUGAGGAAUAAGCAUCGGCUAACUCCGUGCCAGCAGCCGCGGUAAUACGGGGGAUGCAAGCGUUAUCCGGAAUCAUUGGGCGUAAAGCGCCUGUAGGUUGUUUAAUAAGUCUGUUGUUAAAGACUGGGGCUUAACCCCAGGAAAGCAAUGGAAACUACUAGACUUGAGUAUGAUAGGGGUAGAGGGAAUUUCUAGUGUAGCGGUGAAAUGCGUAGAUAUUAGGAAGAACACCGGCGGCGAAAGCGCUCUACUGGACCAUUACUAACACUCAGAGGCGAAAGCUAGGGGAGCAAAAGGGAUUAGAUACCCCUGUAGUCA